rnacentral:rRNA from 1 species
GGCGGGCGGGGCGGGGGCACGGGGGGCCUACGGGAGGCAGCAGUAAGGAAUAUUGGUCAAUGGACGCAAGUCUGAACCAGCCAUGCCGCGUGGAGGAUGAAGGCCCUCUGGGUUGUAAACUUCUUUUAUAGGGGACGAAAAAGGGACUUUCUAGUCCAACUGACGGUACCCUAGGAAUAAGCACCGGCUAACUCCGUGCCAGCAGCCGCGGUAAUACGGAGGGUGCAAGCGUUAUCCGGAUUCACUGGGUUUAAAGGGUGCGUAGGUGGAUUAGUAAGUCAGUGGUGAAAUCUUCGAGCUUAACUCGGAAACUGCCAUUGAUACUAUUAGUCUUGAAUAUUGUGGAGGUUAGCGGAAUAUGUCAUGUAGCGGUGAAAUGCUUAGAUAUGACAUAGAACACCAAUUGCGAAGGCAGCUGGCUACACAUAUAUGACACUGAGCACGAAAG